GAGUUUGAUCAUGGCUCAUGAUGAACGCUGGCGGCGUGCCUAAUACAUGCAAGUCGAACGAGAAAGACAACUUUCAGUUGUUGAGUAGAGUGGCGAACGGGUGAGUAACACUGUAGUGUGACCUGCCCCAGAGAGUGGGAGACAACCGGUGGAAACGUCGGCUAAUACCCCAUAAGCUCACAGUAGAUUAGAAAAGCGUGAGAAAAACUGAGGUGCUCUGGGAGAGGGCCUAGCCGGACCAUCAGCUGGAUAUGGUAGGGUAACGGCUUACCAAGGCGAAGACGGGUAGGGGCCUGAGAGAGGUGGUCCCCCACACGGAGCACUGACACACGGGCCCAGACUCCUACGG
rnacentral:rRNA from 1 species